ACUCACAAGUGAUAAAGUUGCUAAAGAAAAGACUUUCAGGUGUUUAUACCACAUUUGUAUCAAUCACUGAUUUUUUUCUGUAGCCCCAUGUGUGCCAUACCACAUUGAGACCUAUGCAGAGUGUGAAAAUAACCUUGGAGCUGUCAGCUGGGCUGGCAGUGAUGGCGCAGAUUUUUACACCGCCAUUGCUGUAGGACAGGAUGGCCACACGCACGUCUGCCUAACAAAUACAACUUUCUGUGUCUGGGAGGAACUGCACUGUGGAGAAAUUUACUUUGUCCAAGUCACUGCCAAUGCCCAAAUCUGCAACAGUGGGUCCAGUGAUGGCACAGUCAUACACAUGGCUCCAUGUGUCCCUCAAGAACUGGUGUCCUCUUUCGACUGUGACAUGAGAGUGGCUUCCCUCACCUGGGAAGCAAGUGAAAAUGCUGAGAUGUACCUGGUGUCUGCAGAAUCUGAUAGCGGUCACCGGGUGGAACUCUCAACAAAUGCCACAAGUGCACAAUUCUCUGAGUUCAACUGUGGUCAGCCGUACUAUCUGACUGUGCAAGCUGUGGGAAAUGUAUGUAGAAGCCACCCCAGUAAUGCUUCAGUAUUGCAGACAGAGCCCUGUACUCCAGCAGCUGUCGUUGGCUUUAUGGACUGCAUCUCCAACAUUGCUACUGUAUCCUGGGUGUUAGCUGAAGGUGCAGAAUACUACACAGCGACAGUUCAUGGCCCAGAUGGGCCUUCGGAAACAUGCAUGUCCUCAUCAUCGAGCUGUGGCAUGCCCAAACUGUCCUGCGGUGAAACAUACAAUGUUAGCGUGAUUGCCUCCAGUCGCAAGUGUAACUCAACACCCAGUGCGCUGAGCUCUCUUAACUCAGGUAAGGCAAGCAAACAAACGACAGCAUAAAUAUAAGACACAAAUACACAUGUCUCAGCACAGGUACAGGUAUAACACUAAAGCACUUAAGCC
rnacentral:lncRNA from 12 species